AUCAUACGUAUCCUCCAUUGAUUACGACAAAUUCGUUAUUUUCUCAGACUCUAAGUGCGCUCUUCAACAUGUAGCUCGAUGUACAUCUAACGCUAGAAGUACUCCCGUAGCAUACAGAAUUUUAAAACAAAUAUGUAGUUUGAGAGAACAGUCUAAAACAGUUUUUUUGCAGUGGAUUCCAUCUCAUAUUGACCUAUUAGGUAACGAUAUGGCGGAUACUCUAGCAAAGCCUAUCUUUUCCGAGUGUUUACACAUAGUUAAAAAUAAAUGCAAUGAUUUGUGGAGAGAAUAUUUUGAUAAAAGGUCGAAAGACAAAGGCAUCUGGUACCGGACCAUACAACCUCACCCACCCAAUGUACCUUGGAUAGACACAGUGUUAUUGAACAGAAAAGACGUUGUCACCGCUUUACGGUUGCGGUCUGGACAUAUUCCAUUCAAUAAAUUUGGCCAUUUGAUGGGUAUAACUCCACACCCUAAUUGUUUAGUUUGUGGAGUAGUAGAGGAUGCCUAUCAUAUAUUAAUGGAAUGUGUUAAGAACGAAACCAGAAGACGCCAAUUUUUCCCAUA